rnacentral:rRNA from 1 species
GACGAACCGUGCGAACGUUAUUCGGAAUCACUGGGCUUAAAGGGUGCGUAGGCGGGUUGCCAAGUCUGUGGUGAAAUCCUCCAGCUUAACUGGAGAACUGCCGUGGAUACUGGCGACCUCGAGGGGUGUAGGGGCUUGCGGAACUGUGCGUGGAGCGGUGAAAUGCGUUGAUAUGCACAGGAACUCCGGUGGCGAAAGCGGCGAGCUGGACACCGUCUGACGCUGAGGCACGAAAGCUAGGGGAGCGAACGGG